rnacentral:lncRNA from 1 species
CUUCCUUCCACCCCUUAUGAUCUCCCUCUUUUUGUUUUUCUUCAUUUUCUUGCAUUUUUCUUCAAAACUUUCAAAACCCCAACACUCCAACUUCAAGUCUUUGUUGACAUCACGUGGGAAAUCACCUCCUAAUCUCAUUUCAUCCUUCAAAUUCUUCAAUUUGAGUCAGUUUAGUGAGAGAAAAUGAAGCUAGAGAAAGAAAGCUCCAUAAAAAUAAAAAAUGGUAACUUUCUAACUCUCUUAACUUAAUAUUUGAGUAUUGUUUAUUUAGGAUAGCUUGGAAAACUCAUGUUGAUCUUUUAUUGUAUUUUUGUAUGUGCAAAAAAAAGGAAUGAUGGAAAUGGGUCUCCAAUCCAUUUUUAAAUAUGGAAUCAAGUGUUUGGAAGCUUUGAUUUGUACGGUGAUGCAUGGUAGAGGUAAGUAACUUUAGAUAUUCGUAUUUAUCUUACGUUAUAUGUUUAGGAAAAAAAAAUAUUUUUUUGGUGUAAUUAUGAAAAUUGUUGAAUGAUAAAAUAAAGGCAUAAUAACUUAUUUAACUCUCUGAUUUUAAAGUUAUUUUAGUCAUUCAUUUAAAUUUUCACUUUUUUUAAUCUUUAAUUUUUGAAUUUUUUGAAAUUUUAAAUUUUAAAAAUCAAUUAAUUGACAUUAAUUUUUUUAUCUAUUUUUUAAUGAUUUAACAAAUAGUGCAAAUUUGAAAUCUGGAAGAGAUGAAAACUAAAUGAAGGCUAAAAUGAAUAUUUUUAUAAAAUUGAGUGGGCAAAUAAACAAUUAUGACAAAAUAAAUUACAUGAUGACUAUGUAUAUGUUAAAUUCAAUUAAAAAAUGUUUAUAUAAGAAAACAAUUGCUUAGUGGGUUUUGGUAAUUACAAGAAACGUAGUGGAAAUUAUGAAUUUGGCUUAAUGUACUAAGAUGGAUUGAAAAAGUGAUAAAGCAUUAUUGUUACAUCAUAUGGUGAAAUGUGAAUUAUUAGAAAACAAGUUAGAAUUUGCGAAUGGUAACUUUGUUUUUUAAUAAUAAGUGGAAUUAUGGAAAGCAUAAAAAGUGAAUGUGACUUGAAUUGAAAAAAAUGAGCUAUUUAAACCGAAGGAGCUCUCUUGUAUCAUGAAAUGUAUAUAUAUUUAUCUAUCAUGUUAUAAGUGUACUGCGAUUAUAUUGUAAAAUGUUUUAGCAAAUUUAGUGAUUAGUGAAGAUACGAUUGGAAUAUCAUAAGGAUUAGUUAGCAUACGUGUAUUAGAAGAAUGUGGUUAGAAGAUACCUUUGAGUGCAUUACUGAUCCAUUUUUAGGGUCUCCAGAUACACCAUAUUUUAGAGUGAUAGAUUGGAAGAUUGUGUAUCCAAAUUCUGUUAUACUAAAGGCGUAAUGCAUCAAGAAACUGCUUAAAAGAUCUGAGUUGCAAUAAAUGAAAUUGAGUAAAUGUUCAACAAAGGGUAACACUUUGAAAUAAGUUUUAUGAAAGCCCUUAAAAGGUCAUAAAAAUUUGAAACUUCUAUUAUCACAAUGUUUGAUUAUAUGUAUAAGGAAUUAAGGGAUUCUAAGAAAACUUAAAUGAAAUUGUGACUAAGUCAAUGCUGAUUAAGAGUUAAUUAUGUUAGACUUUAUUGUCUGAAUAGCUAAUGAAACGUUAACAAGAAGGAUGAGCCCAUAAUUUAAAAAAAAUUAUCCAAAAUCAAAUUAUGCUAAGUGUGACAUAAAAGAACUUGAGUAAUGUCUAAUAAGAGGUUCAACACUAAUAAAUAAGGUAGGAUAAGUAAGUUUAUCCUUGAGAAUUUACUAAGUUUUUAAAACUCACAUGUCAGUGCUUUAAAAUCCAUAGGUAUUGGAUUCAUCAAGAAGUAUAGGGUCUAAGCUUGUGAGCUUUGCAUAAUCAAUCAUCUUUUAAGUUGUGCAUCAUUAUUUUGGAUGUUUUUUUAUAUUAGAAAUUGGUAUAUUGUAACACCCCAAACCCGGCCUAGACGUUAUGGCUGAAUCCAAGAGUGUUAUAUGGAAGGGUUUUGAAAACAGUGUUAUUUUGAUAAAGCUUUGUUAAGUCAUUUGAUAAAUCAUCCAAGUUUAAUAUCUGUUACUGAAAGUGUUAUUUAAUUAAUUCAUUUUCCAAAAAAUAAUCUACAGUGGAAGUUUUUAGAAAGCGUUGAAUCUUGGAAAUCUAUUUCCUGUGUUUGGAAAAUCCUUUAUUUUUAUAAAAUCGUGAUUUUGGUCAAACGUGGCCAUAAAAGUUAAAACGCCUCCAAAACCAAAAUAAAAGUCAAACAGUCUAGAGAGUCCAAUUAUUACAAACUUCCAGAAAUAAUCUUUAAAUUAACAUAAAAACCAUAAUCUUAAACAGUUUACGAACUCAUGGUCACCAUGAGGCUCCGUCACACCGAUCCGCCUAAGUUUGUGGAUUACCUGAAUAGAACAGACAAACAGAUGUGAGUUUUCGUAAACUCAGUGUGUAACCCAACAGAAAUAGACAUGCAAUACAAACAGAAAUCUCAUAUACAGUCAGAUACAGGUUCGAACUUAUGUCCAUAUCAGAUACAGAUAACAGAAUCAGAUAAGCAGUAUAGACAUGCAGAACCCUACCCCUAUUUUUUACACACCAUCUCCGACCAUCCCAUCACAGCAUGUAGGGUUAAAAAACACUCACCCAUCCCUACACACCAUAUAGUGUCGAUGCAACACAUUACAGAUAAUAUGUAGUCAAGCUGCCAGAAUAUAGGCUAAGUUUCGCCGUACAGAUCACUUCCUCCACAUAUACAAAACCCACGCCAAUCACAGAUACAUAAUACUGAUACAAAAAUAACAGAUACAAUAAUAUCAUGCAUAACAUGCUCAUAUACAGAUAGCAUAUAUAUAUACUUAAACAGAUUAAAUAUACAUAUCGAUAUCCUACACAAGGCGGACUAUCAGAAUGUUAGAUCACAUAAUAUAGGGUUUGGAUAGCCCUUACCGACCUUACGGUAGGUCUACAGUCAAUCGAAACAAACCGUGCGACCCUAGGAAAAAUUUUAGAAUUAUAGGCCGACAUGCUCGUGUGGCUUGCCCAUGUGGGACCACACGCCCAGAUUGGCCUUGCUCGUGUGGCCCACACGGUUGUCCCAAAACCCAUACGCCCUACUUGGCCUAGCUGGUGUGACCCACACAACCACACCCAUACCACCACACGGUCGUGUCUUGCGCACGGCCAUGCCUUCGUCAAACAAAUGGUCUUGUCUCGCACAUGGCCAGACAUACGCCUGUGUAGCGUUGACAGAAUGCUUUUGGCUUUCGCCGAAGCUUGAUUUUCUAUGUUUUGGGAACACGGAACACACCUAGUUCGGUUUUGAUGCGAAAACACUCCCGAAACCACCAAAACCAAAAAUUGAAAUAACCAUUCCCAAAAUCAAUAUUAAUCCUCAAUCAAGCCAACCCAACGAAAAAUGAUCACAAAAAUUUUUAAGUGUUUGAUACUUACCCAACUUCUCAAACUAAGCCGACUAUGAUUCUGUAAGAGAAGAAAUUUAUUCUCUACGAUUUGCUGCCAACAGCCCAAAACCACAUUAUCAAAACAAAAAGGAUUAAAACGAUUCAAAACAGUUAAAGAGAGAAAAACAAUACCCUAACCCACACGGAAAAAUCCACUCUUUACACUUACCAAGCCGUACCACAACACCAAAAAACUGAUACACUAAGACUGAGCGACAAAAAUGCGACAGAAUUCAAAAGGCAAGGGAAAAUAGACUUUGCCAAUUGACAGGAAAGAAAACGUCAAAUUUUUGGGGAUUUUUGGAUGUGAGAGAAAAGAUAACCAAAAAAAAUAAAAAAAUAAAAAAUAUGCCAUCAUAUCCCUAAAUUUUCUCUCCUCACUAACCCACUAACCACUCAGAAUUUCUGACAGAAACUCUAACAGACACACCAAAAAAAAUGAACACCCACGCUCACGCAGGGACUUGAACACGAGACUUCCAACACACUAACUCCUUAGCACUUGAACCAGCAGACUCAUUCUGAUAUGGAUCAACAAACAAUUUUAUAUAAGCCCACUUAACAAGGGUAAGGCUUGGAUCUAAAAUAAUAAAAUUUUGGCAAAAUGGAAACUUUAACCCAAAACCUCACACACACACCCAGAACAUUUAGCCACUGAAAUAGAUACACAUUUGUGUCAGAUUCAACAGAAAUAGGCUUAAAUUAAUCAGGGCGUUACAACUCUACCCCCGUAAAAGAAAUUUUGGCCUCAAAAUUUACCUGAUUAGAACAAAUGAGGAUACUGUUGAUGCAUCGAGUCCUCAGGUUCCCACGUGGCUUCUUCAGUGCCAUGAUUCAGCCACAAAACCUUCACUAAUGUAAUAGACUUCCUUCGCAGAACCUUAAUAUCUCAAUCCAAAAUCUGAAUCGGCUCCUUUUAAAAGUCAAAUCCGGUCUAAACUCGAUCUCCUCAAUAGAGACAACAUGAGAUGGAUCAGACCGGUACCGUCUCAACAUCGAGAAGUAAAACAUAUCGUGGAUACAGUCCAACUCUAGAGGUAGCUUCAACUGAUAAGCGACCGGUCUCACACGCUUCAGAAUCCGAUACGACCUGAUGAACUUAGGGCUCAACUUUUCCUUACGACUGAACCUCAAUAGUUUCUUCCAUGGAGAAACCUUAAGAAAAACGAAGUCACCCAUAGAGUACUUGAUAUCUCUUCUUUUCAAAUCCGCAUAAGACUUUUGUCUAUCAAAAGUUGCAUUCAAACGAUCUCGUAAGUACGACACUUUCUACUAUACAAAGCUUCGUAAGGUGCCUUAUAAAUGCUAGACUAAAAACUGUUGCUAUAAGCGAAUGCAGCUAGCGACAGAAAAUUCUCCCCUACCUCAAAAAUUAAUCACAACUCCAAAGCAUCCUCCAGUAUCUGAAUCACCCUCUUAGACUAACUAUUGGUUUGAGGAUGAAACGCAGUAUUGAAGUCCAAUCUCGAACCUAGAGCCUCAUGUAGUUUCUUUCAGAACCGAGAAGUGAAGCGAGGAUCCUUAUCAGAAAUUAUCGAAACCAAAACCCUAUGCAGUCUUACAAUCUCGAAGAUAUAAAUCUUCGCUAACUUUUGCAGAGAAUAGUCUGUUCGAACCGGAAUAAAAUGAGCAAACUUGGUCAAUUGAUCUAUGAUAACCCAAACAAAAUCCUUCUUAGUGGGUGUCAAGGGCAACCCAUUAACGAAGUCCAUCGUCACUCGUUCUCAUUUUCGUAAAGGAAUUUUAACAGGUUGUAGCAAACCCAAAGGUAACUGGUGCUCAACCUUAACUUACUGGCACGUCAGACAAUGAGCAACAAAAUCUGUAACCAUACGUUUCAAACCCAGCCACCAGUAAAGCUCACGAAGAUCACAAUACAUUUUAUUACCACCGGGAUGCAUAGUAUAAAGAUUACUAUGCGCCUCCCUUAGAAUCGACCGCCUCAGAUCAAAAUCAUUCGGUACAUAAAUUCGACCUCGAAAACACAAAACUCUUCCUUAUUUAGCCCAAAAUUCGAUGUACUAUCCCUUAGCUGUUUUUCUUGAAUUUGCCCAAUCUAAGUCAGCUUAACUUGCAACUCAGCCAACAGACUCCCAUCAUCGAAUAGACUAAGACGAGCGAACAUCGCUAUCAAAUCAGUUAUCACUCUACGACUGAGAGCAUCGGCCACCACAUUGGCCUUACUAGGAUGAUACUCUAUCAUGCAGUCAUAAUCUUUGAGCAGCUCAAUCUAUCGACGUUGUCUAAAAUUCAACUCUUUCUGAGUAAGGAGGUACUUGAGGCUCUUGUGAUCAGUGUAGAUGAUACACUUCUCACCAUACAGAUAAUACCUCUAGAUCUUUAGCAGCUAACUCGAGAUCAUACGUCGGAUAAUUCCUGUCAUAUGACUUAAGCUAACGGGACGCAUAAGCCACAACCUUACCAUCUUACAUCAGUAUACAUCUCAAACUGAUGUGCAACGCAUUACUGUACACCACUAACUCUUUACCGAAUUCAGACUGUAUCAGAAUAGGAGCUUGAGUUAGAACAGACUUAAGCUUCUCAAAGCUCGAUUCCUGCAUAACAGUCCAGAAAAAAGGAACACCCUUGCCUAGAAACUUAGUCAAAUGAGCUACAAUUAGAGAAAAACCCUCGAUAAACUGCCGAUAAUAACCCAUAAACCCUAAAAAAACUAUGGAUCUCCGAUACAUUCUUAUGCUGUUUCCAAUCAAGCACAACCUCAAUCUUUCUAGGAUCAACUUGGAUCCCCUCAACAGAAGCCACAUGCCCUAGAAAAAUUACCUUUCGCAACCAUAACUCACACUUGCUCAACUUAGCGUAAAGUUAUUUCUCUCGAAGUAUUUGAAGUACUACUCUAAGAUGCUUAUCAUGCUCGUCCUCAAUCUUAGAGUAAACCAGGAUAUCAUCGAUGAAGACCACGAUGAAUUGAUUCAGAUACGGCUGAAAAACUCAGCUCAUCAAAUCCAUGAAUGUAGUCAGAGUAUUCGUCAAACCAAAGGGCAUAACUAGAAACUCGUAGUGCCCAUAAUGAGUCCUAAAUGCAGUCUUAUGAACAUCCACUUCCUUAACUCUAAGUUGAUGAUACCUAGAUUGGAGAUCUAUUUUCGAGAACACUGAAGCCCCUUGGAAUUGAUCAAACAAAUCACCGAUCCUCAGAAGUGGAUACUUAUUCUUCACAGUCAAUUUAUUCAACUGUUGGUAGUCGAUGCACAUCCUCAUGGUACCAUCAUAUUUCUUUACAAACAGAACUGGUGCCCCCUACGGAGACAUACUAGGGAGAAUGAAACCACGAUUCAGAAGCUCUUGAAGUUGAGCCUAAGCUCUGUAAGCUCCUUCAAUGCAAUACGGUAUGGAGCGAUGGACACCGGAGCUGUACCCAGUAAAAGCUCAAUGCUGAACUUAACUUCUUGAUUCGGAGCUAAACUCGGUAACUUCUCAGGAAAGACAUCCGAAAACUUUCUCAUUGUUCUAACAUCCUACACAGAAGAGUCUCCAAAAACUGAAACACUGACAAAAACCAUAUACGCCUCACACCCUUUUCGAACUAAUUUCUUAGCCACAAGAGCGGAGAUCACAUUGGGCAGAUAAUCUCGACGCUCUCUUGUCACAACUAUUUCCUUAUCGUCUAUGGUCCUCAAAACAACCUUCUUAGUCACGCAAUCCAAGCUAACUCGGUGCUCAACUAACCAGACUAUACCAUUAUUAAAUCGAACUCCCUAAACAGCAACUCCAUCAAAUUUGCCAGAAACACAACCCAUUACACUUCUAAUGGAACAUUCCUAUAAAGUCUAUUAACCCGAACAGAUUGCCCCAACAGACUUAGUACAGUAAUCUCACAAGAAGUACACUCAACAGAAAUCCCCAAGUUUUCAGAAACAAUACUAGCUACAUAGGAAUGUGCAAAACCUAUGUUUAUCAGAGCAGUAUAAGGGACAUCAAAAAUAAAAAACGUACCCGCGAUAACAUCAGGGGAAUCUCUGUCCUAUCGGUGUCGAGCAACAUAAACCAGUGCAGGCUGUCUCGCCUCAGUCUGACUAGUGUCUCUACCCGUUGCUCUCUGUCCUCGGCCCAUACCAUUACCAUCCUUAGCUAGUCCACGGCCCUUAGGUGGCUACUGAACUGCCCUCUGAGGCUGUACAGGACUCGGUCUUGAAGCUUGCAUCUGAUCAACACGCUGUGAAUACUCUGGAAUCCAAUUCUUCAAAGAUCCACACCUCAGACAAGCCCGUAAGCUACUCCAACACUCAUCCAGAUGGCGCCUACCACAAUCACCAUAUAGUUAAAUCCCCGUAGGAGUAACGGUAACCCCUACUCUCACUGGCCCAUCAGGUCUGGCCCGUUUCUUAGGCCUUUGGACAAAACUAGAGGGCUCCAAAUCCCAUUUAUGCUUACCUCUCUCUCGAUCCCUAUUCUGGCGCUCUACGCGUUUAACCUCUUCGGUGAUCUUCACCUAAUCUACUAGAACUACGAACUCUCGCUCCCUCUAUGGAGCAAUCAAUACCUUCAGAUUAUCCCUCAAACCAUCCUCAAAAUGGACGCAUUUCUCAUACUCAGAUGCCACCAUGCCUCAAGCGUAGCGACUCAACCUCAGAAAUUUAGCUUCAUAUUCGGCCACAGAUUUAUCACCUUGCGUGAGAUUCAUGAACUCUCAAGCCUACGAGCAUCAACAUAGUUUGCGCCCACAUACUUCCCCUAAAAAGCAGUAUUAAAAUAAUCCCAGCUCAGACGAUCCGGUUGAGUACCCUCCUCAACUGACAACCACCAUUGAUACGCCUCGUUGCGAAGCAAAGAGACUGCACAAUUUAGUUUCUGCUCAAGAGUCUAUAUCGUUCAUAAUCCUCUCCGUGGCCUCUAAUUAAUACUCAGCUAUAGUAGGGGUGACUCCAGUGACACCCCUAAACAGCUCAGCUCUAUUGGACCGGAGUCAUUUAGUUACCGACCCACGGCCCCUAGAUCCAAAAUAGGGUCUAGUGAGCCUAUCCAACACCCUCAACAUGGAUUGAAACAGUGCGUCGUCCCCAACCGAGCGGCUUUGAGACCCAAUCUCAGUAGCAGAUGAAACUGGUGUCUCAUUCGUGUCUAAAUUUGGUAUAUUACCUACAGAGAAAGACUCAGCUUGAGCCCUCAUUCGGCCUCUACCGCGCCCACAAAUACCACAACCACAAGUUCCAUGAGCGCUCAUCGUAUAUUUCAAAUUAACCUACAUCAUAAUUUUUUUUGUAUUAGUUCCAAUAUUUAUUAGCAGAUAUUUUAUGCGUAAAUUAUCAGGAAUUUAGAAGUGUUUUAGAGAUUUGAGUCUCUAACUAGCUCAGUGUAGUUUUUAGAAAGUGUUACCUACGGAAGUUUCUAUCUAAGUUCAGAAAUACUUAUAGGAUCGACACCGGAGACUUGGUGUACCACAUACUUACUUAGAGUGAUCAUUUGGAAACUAGUUUUUUUUGAAACACAAUUUUGGAACCCAAAAUUUAUAGCCCGAGUUUUACAAUUUGACUCUGAUACCACUAAAUGUAACACCCCAAACCUGGCAUAAACGUUAUGACCGAAUCUAAGAGUGUUACAUGGAAAGGUUUUAAAAAUAGUGUUAUUCUGAUAAAACUUUGUUUAGUCUUUGAUCAAUCAUCCAAGUUUAAUAUCUGUUAUUGAAAGCAUCAUUUAAUUAAUUCAUUUUCCAAAACAUAAUCUACAGCGAAAGUUUUUAGAAAGUGUUGAAUCUUGGAAAUCUAUUUCGUGUAUUUGGAAAAUCGUUUAUUUUUGUAAAACCAUGAUUUUGGUCAAACGUUGUCAUAAAAGUUAAAACGCCUCCAAAACUAAAAUAAAAGUCAAACAGUCUAGAGAGUUCAAUCAUUACACACUUCCAGAAAUAAUCUUUAAUUUAACAUAAAAAACCAUAAUCUUAAACAGUUUACGAACUCGUAGUCACCAUGAGGCUCAGUCACAUCGAUUCGCCUAAGUCUGUGGAUUACCUGAAUAGAACAGACAAACAGAUGUGAGUUUUCGUAAACUCAGUGUGUAACCCAACAGAAAUAGACAUGCAAUACAAACAGAAACCUCAUAUACAGUCAGAUACAGGUUCGACCUUAUGUCCAUAUCAGAUAAAAAUAACAGAAUCAGAUAAGCAGUAUAGACAUGCAGAACCCUACCCUUAUCUUCUACACACAAUCUCCGAUCAUCCAUCACACCAUGUGGGGUUAAAAAACACCCACCCAUCCCUACACACCAUAUAGUGUCGAUGCGACACAUUACAGAUAAUAUGCAGUCAAGCUGCUAGAAUAUAGGCUAAGUGUCGCUGUACAGAUCACUUCCUCCACAUAUACUAAACUCACGCCAAUCACAGAUACAAAAUACAGAUACAGAAAUAACAGAUACAAUAAUAUCAUGCAUAACAUGCUCAUAUACAGAUAGCAUAUAUAUACUUAAACAGAAUAGAUAUACAUAUCGGUAUCACAUAAUUUAGGGUUUGGAUAGCCCUUACUAACUUACGGUAGGUCCACAAUCGAUCGAAACAAACCGUGUGACCCUAGGAAAAAUUUUAGAAUUAUGGGCCCACAUAUUCGUAUGGGUCCACACGCCCGUUUGGCCCUUAUGCCCAGAUUGUUCUUGGUCGUGUGGCCUACACGGCCUGGCCCAAAACCCACAUGCCUAUGUGGAAUGCCCGUGUGGCCCACACGUCCUACUUGGCCUAGCCCGUGUGGCCCAUACGGCCACACCUACACCACCACAUGGCCGUGUCUUGCGCAUGACCAUACCUUCAUCAAACACAUGGUCAUGUCUCACACACGACCAACCACACGGCCAGGUACAUACCGUGUAGCAUCGAUAGAAUACUUUUUUGACUUUCACCGAAGCUCGAUUAUUUGCUUUUUAGAAACACACUUGGUUCGAUUUUGAUACAAAAAACUCUCGAGACCACUAGAACCUAAAAUCGAGAUAACCAUUCCAAAAAUCAAUAUUAAUCCUCAAUCAAACCGACACAACGAAAAAUGAUCACAAAAAAAUUUAAGUGUUUGAUACUUACCCAACUUCUCGAACUAAGUCGACUACGAUUCUGCAAGAGAAGAAAUUUGUUCUCCACUAUUUGCUGCCAACAGCCUAAAACCACAUUACCGAAACGAAGAGGGUUGAAACGAUUUAGAACAGUUAAAAAGAGAAAAGUAAUACCCUAACCCACACGAAAAAAUCCACUCAUUACACUUACCAAGUCGCACCACAACAUUGAAAAACCGAUACACCAAGACUGAGCGACAAAAACGCGACAGAAUUCAAAAGGCAAGGGAAAAUAGACUUUUCCAAUUGACAGGAAAGAAAACGUCAAAUUUUUAGGGAUUUUUGGAGGUGAGAGAAAAGAUAACAAAACAAAAACAAAAUAAAAUAAAGAAUAUGCCAUAAUAUCCCUAAAUUUCCUCUCCUCACUAACCCACUAAGCACUCGGAAUUUUUGCUCAACAGAAACUCUAACAGAUAUGCCAGACAAAAAUGAACACCUACAUUCACGCAGGGACUUGAACACAAGACCUCUAACACACUAACUCCUUACCACUCAAAGCAACAGGCUCAUUCUGAUAUGGACGAACAAACAAUUUUAUAGAAGCCCACUCAACAAUGGUAAGGCUUGGAUCUAAAAUAACAAAAUUUUGGCUAAAGGGUGACUUAAACCCAAGACUUCUCACACACACUCAGAAUACUUAGCCACUAAAAUAGAUACACAUUUAUGUUAGAUUCCACAAAAACAUGCUUAAAUUAAUAAGGGUGUUACACAUGUACAUAAGGGUUUAAUUUAGAUUUGAAUUUUAUAAAAUUUGAUUUGUAUUUCAAGCUAUUUAUAUGAUUUUAAUCAAGCUCUAAUUCAUGGGCUACUUUGAACGUGUUUAUGGCUUGCAUUAUAUGUUUAAAUGAGGUUUUGAAAUUGAUUUGUAAAGCUUUGGGACAUAUAGAAAUGAUAUGAACAUGUUUAGACAUGAUUUUGAAGUGUUUUUGGGACGUCCAUUGGUGACGUCGUGACCUCGACUUCCAAUGUUACAACCUCGCAUUUCUCACAUUGUGACUUCGUGCCUUGUUUUAUCCCCUGUAGAUUGUCUUGUCCCAUUGCACUGUUUUCACCCGUUCUUACUCUCGAGGGCUCAUUUUUUUACCUUUGACACUUCUAAUCACCUAUAAAAUGAUUCUAUAUGAUUUUAAAUUGUUUUAAUUAAAUUUUUAUGAUUUUACCAACAUAUUUAAAGCUUGAAAUUUUAAAUAACUUUGAUAUUUUCGUUCCGUCUAGAGUACUCUGAUAGCAUCUUUCAUUUGUACUGUACAUCAGGAUGGGUGAGGGAGGGGUGUUACAAUUAUUACCUCCAUCAAUUGUAUAUAUUAAUAAUGUUAUUGAUUGAGUUUGUGUCACGGAUCAACUCGACUCUAACUCAAGAUUGAUGGCAACACCAUGAGAAAUAAUUGUAGUGCAUUUAGUAUUUAGUAUUCGUAAUGUGAUGUAUUUAUGUGUUUAAAUUUUAUUUCACCCACAAUUUAAUUUAUUUUAAUUAUUAUACAUAUUUCAUUUUUUAUUAUUAAUUAGUUCCAAACCAUAUAUUUCAAUAUUUAUUUUAUGUUAUUUUUAACUAAUAUAUGUGUUCUAAGUACGCAAUUUCUAUAGGCAUACGCAUGUGAUUGAAUUUCUAGUAAAUUUUUAAGUGGAUUAUAUUUUUAAAAAUUAGAAAAAACUUGUAAAAUAAUAAAAUUAAAAUUAAAAAAUUUUAAAUAUAUUAAUAUAGCAACAAUUUUUAGUAAAUUGUUUUUUUCAUAAUAUGUUAUUAUUAUGUAUGAUUUAUAUAAUAAAACAUAGUCAUAUAUAAUUACGUUUUAAAAAAAUACUAAUAUGUUUGAUAUUUCACAUUCUAAGUAUAUUUUUACAUUUAGUUCAAUAAUAUAAUAUAAUAAUUUAAUUUUUCAGAUUGUUAAUAAAAUUUACAAUAUAAUUUAAUAUAUUUUAAUUAAUACACCAAAUUAAUCCAAGAAUAAGAAAUAAAAUUUAACAAAAUACUUUCAACAGUGUUAUAGUUUUGAAAUGUGAGAAAUAGAGAGGCUAGAUUCCUAAAAGUAAAAAUAUAUGGACUAAAUUGUCAAAUGAGAAAAUAUUUUGUGGCGUUGGCAAUAUUUCUAAUGAUGAUAACUUAAAGUUGUGUAGAAGAAAGAAAAUGAGAAGAUCAAGCAGAAGAUAUGGGGAUUAUUUCUCAAUGUUGUUUGUCUUCAAAAUCCAAGUUGGGUUGCCCCACAACAAAUACAAUUAUCAGUUUUAAGAAUUGCAAAUUGCAAGGAGUGGUUCUUUUAGAUAUAUAUAAAUUUAUGCUUCAUUUGGUAUGUCCAUUAUGGUAACCACUUGACUUUAAUUUAUUUUUAUUGUCAUCCGACCAGUUUGCUUAAUUAGCAUAAAAUACUUCUAUAAAUGGCUUACAAUAAAGACUACGUCAAUGGAUAAAAAAAGGUGAACAUAAAAUUUUCAUUUUUUUUCAUAAUUUUAAGAAAACAAAAGUAUACAAAUAUCUACGAGGUUUGAUAGAAACUAUACUUACCCCUGAUGUUUGAAAAUUACCUCUUACUCCUGUGAGGACAGGAAAAAUAAAUUACCUUUUAUUAAUUAAAUUAUUCAUUUGUUAUUUUUAUUAUUUUAAGGGAAAAGUAUCAAACCCUAAAUAAAAUAAUAUAUGUAAAUAAUAAAAAUCUAACUAAUUUUGAAAUUGUUUUAAUAAUUAUUAAAUUUUAAUUAUAAUUACAUUAUACAUUCAUGUUAAAUAUAAUGAAUUUUUUGAAGUUAAUAUUUGCAAAUUUUUUAAAUAGAUUUUUAUUAUAGGUUCUGAUCAUGUAUGUUCUUUUUAAUAUAAUGUCUAGAACUAGACAUAACUCCUCCCCAACCAAUAAAUAGGAAGAUAAUGCGC